GCCCACAGCCACACUACCUAGAACACAGCCAACUUUGCAUGAUCAUGGAAGCUCAGCAGGGUUGGCUCUGUUUAGUAAUUGGAUAGGAGAUUGCGUGGGAAUACAAGGUGCUAUAAUCU
rnacentral:rRNA from 1 species